rnacentral:rRNA from 1 species
UACGUAGGGGGCAAGCGUUGUCCGGAAUCAUUGGGCGUAAAGAGCGCGUAGGCGGUCCGAUAAGUCGGCUGUGAAAGUCCAGGGCUCAACCCUGGAAAGCCGGCCGAUACUGUCGGACUAGAGUCCGGAAGAGGCAAGUGGAAUUCCCGGUGUAGCGGUGAAAUGCGCAGAUAUCGGGAGGAACACCAAUUGCGAAGGCAGCUUGCUGGGACGGUACUGACGCUGAGGCGCGAAAGCGUGGGGAGCAAACAGG